GCUGAAGGAGCAAUCAGGCGUCUCGCUUGAAAGAAUUUGAUUUUGAUAAUUGUAAUAGUACCAGAUGGUAUUAAAAAAACAUUCUGUUCUGGUGCAGAAUACAAAUGAAGGAAAAAAUUGAGAAAUGAAGUUAAUCAAAGCUACCAAUGCCUUCAUCACGACUCGAGGAAUGAUGAAUGUUGAUGGUUUUCUAGUUAAUGUGUGGGGCUAAUACCUACUAACUUAAGAUCACGAGAGGCUAUAGAUCUCAAUGGCUAUCGUUGCAGCAAGGCGGGGACACAUUACAUUUGGCCAGAGAGUCCGUGACUGUCAUUUAGCAAAUGUUUUUCCAGCCAUGCGAUUUUUGAAGAAAGAGGUUCUACAACCAGCAUGUUCUCCAGGUUCAUCUACAUGGAAUUAACUUUACGGGUGUCUAAAAUAUGCAUCAGUGAACCUAGGAACAUAAACAAACUCAAGGUAAUAUUUCAGGAACCAGUUGCGACAAUACCAAAGUGAUCAAAGAGUGAUGCAAAGUAUGCAUGAUAAACUAGAGAAGUAUAACACGAAUGUUAAAGAACACUUGAAAAAUGUGUUUUUUAAAAAUAACUGGAGAGAAUAAUGGCAUCGUAUUGUUUUUUCUUUUAGGUGAAAUACUUGAUUUAUAUUUCAUGAUGUUAAUUUCGAUCUCAAAGCAUUAUAUUCUCAUGCCCACCUUAUAAAUAUCCUAUCAGCAA